rnacentral:rRNA from 1 species
AUUGAACGCUGGCGGCAGGCCUAACACAUGCAAGUCGAGCGGAUGAAGGGAGCUUGCUCCUGGAUUCAGCGGCGGACGGGUGAGUAAUGCCUAGGAAUCUGCCUGGUAGUGGGGGAUAACGUCCGGAAACGGGCGCUAAUACCGCAUACGUCCUGAGGGAGAAAGUGGGGGAUCUUCGGAUCUCACACUAUCAGAUGAGCCUAGGUCGGAUUAGCUAGUUGGUGGGGUAAAGGCCUACCAAGGCGACGAUCCGUAACUGGUCUGAGAGGAUGAUCAGUCACACUGGAACUGAGACACGGUCCAGACUCCUACGGGAGGCAGCAGUGGGGAAUAUUGGACAAUGGGCGAAAGCCUGAUCCAGCCAUGCCGCGUGUGUGAAGAAGGUCUUCGGAUUGUAAAGCACUUUAAGUUGGGAGGAAGGGCAGUAAGUUAAUACCUUGCUGUUUUGACGUUACCAACAGAAUAAGCACCGGCUAACUUCGUG